GACGAACGCUGGCGGCGCGCUUAACACAUGCAAGUCGAACGGAAAGGCCUGCUUUCCCUUGUGGAUUGCGGGUACUCGAGUGGCGAACGGGUGAGUAACACGUGAGUGAUCUGCCCCCAACUUGGGUAUAAGCCUGGGAAACUGGGUCUAAUUCCCGAUAGGACUGCAGGGUGGUGCCUGUGGUGGAAAACGAUUUUCUAGUGGUUGGGGAUGAGCUCGCGGCCUAUCAGCUUGUUGGUGGGGUAAUGGCCUACCAAGGCGGCGACGGGUAGCCGGCCUGAGAGGGUGGACGGCCACAUUGAGACUGAGAUACGACCCAGACUCCUACGAGAAGCAGCAGUGGGGAAUAUUGCACAAUGAGCGGAAGCCUGAUGCAGCGACGCCGCGUGGGGGAUGACGGCCUUCGGGUUGUAAACUCCUUUCGACCGCGAGGAAGCCACCUGGUUGGAAGGGUGGUGACGGUAGUGAUAGAAGAAGCACCGGCUAACUACAUG
rnacentral:rRNA from 1 species